rnacentral:lncRNA from 1 species
AGAAUUAGAAAGAUGAAAUCUCAUUUAUCCCUAUGCACUCCUUUCCAUUGUUCUUCGCCCUACUACUUUUAGUGAUAAAGACAAUAUUGGAAGGCUUUGAAGUGUGGUCAAAUCAUGUUCAUUUAGAUAAAAACAGCCUUUAGAUUCUCUUCAGAGAUGUCGUUGUAAACAUUAAGUGUCUUGAUUAUAUAACAUUUCAAGGAAUCUGCCGAGGUGUUGCCAGACUUUGUGAUAAAGAGCCUGAUCUUCCAAUCAUAGAAAUAAAGAGUUUUGACAUUGAUUCAGUAGGAAGCAGGACAGCAUCCACAAUUAACAGACGAAGAAUAGUUUGUGUUAUGUGUUGGUUAUUUUGCAUCUCUUGGGUUAGGUAUUUUAAACAUUUAAACACUGUCUGCGGAAGAUGUGAAGAGCAUUUAGUUUUAUUCAGGGGUUUUUGAUUUUUUUCCACUGUACCUUUAAGCUUCCUUUUCUGCUUUCUAGGAGUGUAUUGAUCUUGUUCACUCUUUCUUGAUACAGGAUUCUGAUUAGUUAGUUAUAAGGAUGUGUUCAAUCACGUGAUGCAGAACGUGUUUUCAGAAAUGUUUUAAAUCAUGAUAGCUGCAAGGGUGAAUAACCAGUGCAAACACCAUUGUAACACAUACAUGCUCUGCUUUGGAGAGCUGAAGCCCAUUUUUAUAGCUGUGGGGAAGGCACAGGUUUUCCAGUACAGAGUCCACACUGGUUUCAUAUGUGAUGAGGAGACAAGCAAACAGUGGAGAACAGCAGUAGAUACGACGCCGAUAAGCAAGAAAGAAAAAUUAAGGACAAAAAGACGGAGCUGUUUCUAAAAAAUCAGGCUACAUCCCAAUCCAACAGAAAUUUGCUUAACAGUGGGAGAUGAUGCAUUUUGAACAGGGUUUGUUGAUGGCUGAAGACUAUAACCCAGCCUCAGCACAGGUAACUGCUGGCAAUACAAUGCUCACCUUGAAUGAGGCAAUAUGGGGAAAGUGAUCUACAGCUUCAGGGUUU